GUUCCUGUAGGCUAAUGGAUAGACCAUCCGGCUACGAACCGGAAGAUGUGGGUUCGAUUCCCGCCAGGAACACUA
rnacentral:tRNA from 1 species